rnacentral:rRNA from 1 species
CUACGGGUGGCUCCAGUGGGGAAUAUUGGACAAUGGGGGCAACCCUGAUCCAGCAAUUCCGCGUGGGUGAAGAAGGUUUUCGGAUUGUAAAGCCCUUUCAGCAGGGAAGAAGCAAGUGACGGUACCUGCCGAAGAAGCCACGGCUAAUUACGUGCCAGCAGCCGCGGUAAGACGUAAGUGGCAAGCGUUAUCCGGAAUUACUAGGCGUAAAGGGCAUCUAGGCGGCAAUGCAAGUCAGAGGUGAAAAGUCAGGGCUCAACCUUGGCCUUGCCUUUGAAACUGCAUAGCUAGAGUACGGGAGAGGAGGGCGGAACUACAAGUGUAGCGGUGAAAUGCGUAGAUAUUGGGAGGAACACCGGUGGCGAAGGCGGCUUUCUGGACUAGCACUGACGCUGAGGCGCGAAGGCUAGGGGGGCGAACGGGAUUAGAUACCCUUGUAGUC